AGCACCGCGGUAAUUCCAGCUCCAAUAGCGUAUAUUAAAGUUGUUGCAGUUAAAAAGCUCGUAGUUGAAUUUCGGGGUCAGUAGGUCGGUCGUGCCACUGGUAUGAACUGGUUUUACUGAUUCCUCCCUCUUGAAGAACUGUAAUGCCAUUAAUUUGGUGUUGCAGGGAAUCAGGACUGUUACUUUGAAAAAAUUAGAGUGUUUAAAGCAGGCUUUAGCUUGAAUACAUUAGCAUGGAAUAAUGAAAUAGGACGUUUGAUCCUAUUUUGUUGGUUUCUAGGAUUGACGUAAUGAUUAAUAGGGAUAGUUGGGGGCAUUAGUAUUCAAUUGUCAGAGGUGAAAUUCUUGGAUUUAUUGAAGACUAACUACUGCGAAAGCAUUUGCCAAGGAUGUUUUCAUUAAUCAAGAACGAAAGUUAGGGGAUCGAAGACGAUCAGAUACCGUCGUAGUCUUAACCAUAAACUAUGCCGACUAGGGAUCGGAUGAUGUUAAUUUUUUAAUGACUCA
rnacentral:rRNA from 1 species